GAUUGCAAUAAGCUUUUCGAAAUAUGCAUGGUUCGAACUUGCAUGCAAGAAGCGGAAAGCAUCUGCUCUACUGAGAGCCCCCAUCUCUUGCUACGCCCAGUUUGCUCGUGCGGUCCGAUUGCUCGCGCAUUUAACUUGGCUUGGUCCUCCUGCUUCGUUCUCCGUCUACUCGACGUUGAUUUUCUUCCACUUCGACACAAAGUUCCCGAACGGCAACAAGAACGGACGUGCUUAUUCCCGGUUGCUACGAAUUUUUUUUUUGCAUUAUCCCGUUCAGCAUCAAGAGAAGACAGAAGUGAGUGAAAAGUGGUAAAAAGGCGUGCGCGUGUGAAAAGAAAAGUGAUUGCUUCCGAAAAAGGAAGAGUUUGGAUUCGAUUUCCAUCAGCAGGAUUAAUUUGCUUCAGGUUUCCUGAUUUAUUGCGGAGUAAAAGUUUUUCCCGACAGCGCAAUUGGUGUGAAAAGACUCCGCCAUCUUUGAAUUGAUUGUUUUGUGUUUGGAAAGCGCGAUUUGUUGGGCGACGAAAAUCGGCUUUUGAUCAGGAAACUGAUUUCGGGACAGAGAGCAGAUUUCUCACAAUGAUGAGUUCGAUCAACAAGAUUCACUUCAACGGUUCGACGGGUGUUUCGCUGAACGACCGGUUCACGAUCAUGUCCAAAAUGAGUCCCCAGGAGAAAGCGAAUUCUGGCCGCGAACGGAACGGCGUUGGCGGAGGAGGUGGCAUUCUGCGGAAGCGCUCAAAUUCGAUGGAUUCCUACGCGUCUCGGAAUUCCUACGCCAACCGGCAGCUCGUCAAUCAGCUGGACCGGCGCCACCUUGGACAGUCACAGGCCACGGCCCUGCGGUUGAGAAAUAAAACGAUCCGCUCCGGGCGGCAAAGGCUCAAUCGAACGAGUUUGGCAUCGCGGACCCAAUUGAGACGGGCGGCAGGCACCACAUUAUCCCUGGCGGGCGGAUCCCGACGGCUGCAGCGAUCGAACAGUUUCUCAGACAUUGCUACAAUGAACGCAGACUUCGUCGAACGUCAAUCGCUGCGUCGGUCCAACUCUCAGCUUAGCAUUGCGUCCCGCCUUGGAAAUGCCGGACGUUCUCGAGGUGUCCCUCGGCGUCCCCUGCAGCGUACCAAUUCAAGCGCCAGCCUAUCCGGAGCCCGGUCUCCAUACCGUGGACGAUCUCGUUCCCGCUCUCGGUCCCGUGCCCGUUUGCCUCGCUCCCAAUCUCGUGGUAAUCUCUCUCGCACCAGAUCUCGCAGUGCCGGCCUCAAUGGCAUUGGCCAGAACAACAACAACAACAACAUAGAGAACCGCCUAGGCCGAGUAGCAGGUAACAACCGCCUUAGGGGACGCUCCAAUGUCCGCCGUGGCCGCGGAAGGGCACCAAAUACGCUGCCCCGAUCCGCAUCGCGAACAAAUGUGCGCUCUGGAAGCGUCAAUGGCCGCCUCGGUGGAAACCGAACCAACCGAACGCUGGGCACCCGUGGAGGACGCGGACGUGUUGCCAAGCGUGGCCAACGGCGAGGACCAGCAGGAUCCGGUCAGAAUGGUACCGGCGGCGGAAGACCCGGACGUACCCUGCAGAGGUAAUAAUCCGAUGGCUUAUUGUAAUAUGGAAGGGAUGGAAUUUACUUGAAUUCGUUGAAAAUGAUGAUGGAGCGAUCUACCCGUGGACUUUGUCAGUGUAGUCACAGCAACACUUCGUGCCGGACGAUCCUCUUAGAAACCGUGUUGAUUAUUCAGCCUUAACUUUUGAGAUUCGUUCCUUGGAGGAUAUCGAAGAGAAGGAACAGAAAAAAAUACGUUCAGUCCAAUAACAGCAAUCCAUAAUCACUGGCCAACGAUAGCUAAUAAGACACAGGAUGCAAAGAGUGUGGUGCUCUUUUCCCAACAUUGACAGGCAAAUGGACGAUAACAACCGCUCGCCAAUCUUAGAAGCCUUACCACGAUUAAAUCGUCCACAGGAACUUGAAUUUGAAUAGCUUAUCUAUCGAUGCCUCGCACCGAAGACAUGUGCCGAAUUUCUCUAACCAAUCCAACUGGCGCCGACUAAAGUAAUCCGUUCCGAGGAGUUUCCAAGCCUGGCCAGCUCCAUUGAGUCAUCCAACCACUAGGUCACUGAUUAUAACUGAUGGUGUAGUCAUUUGGUUCUAUCCUAUCUUGAUCCUAUCGCUCAAAGACACAAAUACUCUUGUUUAGUGACGCGUUCUGUGCGAAACCCCCUUCCACAACAAGAACAGCCAAGCGCGCUCGUUAGACGAGCGAUUUUCUUGUAGUUGCAGCUGCCUGGCAUCAGCCUGUGCUCGAUGCCAUCCAGGUUUGUUCCCAGUGUCAACGCGACAGACAGAUGGAAGUCCAAAGCUCAAAUCUCCCCACUUCUCCUGGCGAAGGCGGCGUUAAUCGCUGAUAAUGACGGACGACGACUGCGCGGAAUGAUUAUGGUAACACAGAAUUACGGGUUAUGAGUUUUUUCUCGCUGGGUAUAUCAUGCUCAAGACGCUGAUCGAGUUUUCGAUGAUGGUGGAAACGACUUAGUUGGGAUUGGGCCCACGAUUUCCACAACCCUACUUUGAAGGCUUAGACCUUUGCACUAGACUAAGGAAGGCCCCAGAUACAUACAUCAUCAUCGUAUAUAUAAAAUCCCAGAGUUGUCUGUCAGUCACGCUUUGAAAUGUUUCACUGAGCACUACGACAUAAAUUUUUACAACAGUAAUGUUAAUCUCCAUACUGUGUCAAUCAAUAUCAUAUUUACUUGACAAGAGGUAUUCAUAGGAAACCUUGUUGAUAAUGUUUAUAAAGGAAACCAUUUUAAGUCCAGUUUCAUUACCCCGUUUUGGUUAAAACAUCCAUUAUAUGAAAAAUCGAAUAACACUUUUAGUAAAAUGGAACAUAUAAAGUUACAGUAUUCUGAACGUAUAGGGGUCAUUAUGAAUUUUGUUACGUAGCUCUGGUAUUUAAUUCUCGAGUGCAAAUAUUUUUAGAAAGUAUUGUUUUGUGGCACCAAAAUGGAAAUUUGGAGGAUACUCUCAUCAUGAGAAAAAAAAAACACAACUCUUUCGUAAAUGUAAAUCUCGAAGACUUGUU